ACAUCGGAAGCAUUGCUGGUAAUGCAGAAGUCUCCAAAACUUCCGGGUGUGAUCCCACUGAAGGUUCGACUCCUUCCCGGUGUG
rnacentral:tRNA from 1 species